rnacentral:rRNA from 1 species
AUUGAACGCUGGCGGCAGGCUUAACACAUGCAAGUCGAGCGAGCGGCGGACGUGUGAGUAAUGUCUGGGAAACUCCCUGAUGGAGGGGGAAAACUACUGGAAACCGUAGCUAAUCCCGCAUACCAUUAGAUGUCCUCACAUGGGUUUAGCUAGUAGGAGGGGUAAUGGACCACCUAGGCGACGAUCCCUAGCUGGUCUGCGAGGAUGACCAGCCACACUGGAACUGAGACACGGGCCAGACUCCUACGGGAGGCAGCAGUGGGGAAUAGUGCACAAGGGGCGCAAGCCUGAUGAAGCAAUGCCGCGGGUGUGAAGAAGGCCUUCGGGUUGUAAAGCACUUUCAGGGGGGAGGCGUUACCCGCAGAAGAAGCACCGGCUAACUCCGUGCCAGCAGCCGCGGUAAUAC